rnacentral:rRNA from 1 species
AUGGCUAGCAACGAUGAAGGACAGGGUUCUGGUGAUUGCGACAACGUCUACCGGGCGGCAGACGAAUUUUUUAGCCUUACCGACGAUCAACCGAUGUUGUUGCUGGGCCCACCGGUGGCAUCGGGGACUGAGACCGACACGCAGACCGGUGCUGAGACUGAGACCGGCGCUGAGACUCAGACCGACAUCGAGACCGGCGCUGAGACUGAGACCGGUGCUGCCUCGCGGAGCGGAGCCGGUGUAGAACCCAAAGCAAAGAGGCAAUGGCUUCCUAACAAACUCAGGACUACUAGACUGGUGGUCACGGAGGUGGACGACGGCAAUUUUGAGCCAAAGGCGCCUGAUGAAGCGCGCGCGUGCUACGGCAAUCAAAUAGGCUGCAUCGUACGGACAACCACCACCAUCAACGAUGAGAAACUACAGAAGAUAGAAAAUAUGAGGAGCUCCCUCCUAAAGAAGUUUCACCAGAUAUUCUUGUUCCCGGGAUGGAAUGAGAAGGAUUAUGAAGAUCCAGACGAGGACCCGGCAAUGAAGAAGAUAAACAAACACGCCAUGACGAAGUUUAGCGACGCGUUGGCCACCUGGAAAACUCGAGUGAAAGCAAAGAUCAUCGACAAGAAGGAACCCUACUACGAGAUUGUAAAGGACAAUCCGACAAUCACAGAAGAGCAGUUUCAAAUAUUCAAGGAGGCUUGCGAGGCCGAAGCUACGAAAAAAAAGUCUAAGUACAUGAAGGGGCUUCAAGAGAGGAACAUUGGGAGCCACCACCUCAGAAGCUGUGGUUACGGCGGAAAGAGGUCCAAAUGGGCCAUGGAGGACGCGGAAGCCGCGAGUCUGGGCAUCCCAGACCCCUUGGCGGAUUUCACCGUCCCGCAGGAGCGUGACGUCCUGAGGGCCCGGCACCGUUGGAACCCAGUGAAGAAGGUUUCCGAGACAACACCGGUCAUUACAGAGUUCAUGAGACUGCUGAGAGAGCAGCACCGGAUUGCGGCAGAAAGCGACUCGCCGUCUGAGGCAUUGGCGAGGCCCAAGUGGGACACUCCAUUCAACCGGGCGUUGAACAUAUUGAAACGACAACCGAUGGAUACUCGACCAUCGUAUGGACGUGCACGGUGUCGGAGACAACGCCACGUGGAAGAAGUACUACCGUGA